rnacentral:lncRNA from 1 species
GGGCAGGAUGGAGUUUUACUCGGUGUGAGGAACCGACAGCUGCCAUCUCAGGAACACAGAUUUGACAGAGUUGUCGCCCACUGCCGCCGUGUGAUGCGAUUGUCUCUCGAUUACAUGGGACGACAGCUUAACGGGGGGGGGAAGCUAAGCUUGGUGAGGAAGGGGUUUUCGCUGGGCUGCAACCAUGGCAACAGCAGCCUAAGAUGUAUUUAGCCUGCACCUGAGGCUCAUCGCAGCCAUUUCUGAUUUCUGGACCUCAAUUUAGCUUCUUGUUUCGCUUUUUUUUCCCACUCACCUUCUCACGCUCUGUCUUCGGCUUGUCAAGCUGCGCCUCCACAUGCGUGCGUGGAACAAAGAGUCUUUAUUUCAGUCCCAGGGCUCCUCCGCCCCCUGACGCUCUUACUCCAGACGCACUUGUCAUCCAGAAGGCAGGAGGCCUAUUCUUCAGAUUUGGUGAUGCUGCUGAGUGGAUGCCCGUGCACUGUACGAGGCAGGAGGACAGACGGAAUAUCAGUCUCCGUCCGUCAUCGCAUCGAGGGAACAAGCGUAGAAAGAGGGCAUUUACGAGGAAGCCACACUUUGAGCAAGAUGGAUGCGGCCUCGUCUCCGGCGCCCGGGUUCUGUUGUCUAACGUCUUGAAGAAACUGAACACUGCACGUGAUGGGAUGUCAGGAUGCAGAACACGCAGCCUGUCACCAUGGUGACUGACAUGUUUCACCCCGCCCGUCUCACACAGACACAGCUGAGACUAUGGUCGCUGACCAGAAUCAAAGAGGAAACCGGGGCUGGCGGCUAAUGGAUCCACUGAAGAGAGUGGGACGAGUGAAGAGACGCGAACAGCAGGAAAGACUGACAGAAAAUGACCGGAUGAUUUAAAAAAAAAAAAAAAAAAAAAGGGGAGGGGAGGGGAAAGUAGGAGCUGUUUGUUUCAGAGCUGAAGAUGAAUGAUGGAUGUCAAUCACAUCAAGCUCUGUUCUUGGUUAUUUCUAUUUCUGUUCUUUGUUACUCUUCCCACUGCACAUUUACUUUAUUAAAAAUGUCCUUGCACCAUAACUACAUGUUACUUAUUUACACAAAGCAGCAUUUAUUAGUUUAGCCUAUCAAUAAAUAAAAAAACGCAUUAUAUUUAAUUUCUUAC